rnacentral:rRNA from 1 species
UUUUAUGGAGAGUUUGAUCCUGGCUCAGGAUGAACGCUGGCGGCGUGCCUAAUACAUGCAAGUCGAGCGAACGGACGAGAAGCUUGCUUCUCUGAUGUUAGCGGCGGACGGGUGAGUAACACGUGGAUAACCUACCUAUAAGACUGGGAUAACUUCGGGAAACCGGAGCUAAUACCGGAUAAUAUUUUGAACCGCAUGGUUCAAAAGUAAAAGACGGUCUUGCUGUCACUUAUAGAUGGAUCCGCGCUGCAUUAGCUAGUUGGUAAGGUAACGGCUUACCAAGGCAACGAUGCAUAGCCGACCUGAGAGGGUGAUCGGCCACACUGGAACUGAGACACGGUCCAGACUCCUACGGGAGGCAGCAGUAGGGAAUCUUCCGCAAUGGGCGAAAGCCUGACGGAGCAACGCCGCGUGAGUGAUGAAGGUCUUCGGAUCGUAAAACUCUGUUAUUAGGGAAGAACAUAUGUGUAAGUAACUGUGCACAUCUUGACGGUACCUAAUCAGAAAGCCACGGCUAACUACGUGCCAGCAGCCGCGGUAAUACGUAGGUGGCAAGCGUUAUCCGGAAUUAUUGGGCGUAAAGCGCGCGUAGGCGGUUUUUUAAGUCUGAUGUGAAAGCCCACGGCUCAACCGUGGAGGGUCAUUGGAAACUGGAAAACUUGAGUGCAGAAGAGGAAAGUGGAAUUCCAUGUGUAG